UCCAAAUGAUGAUGAAAUCAAGGAUUGUUUCUCAAAACAUUCGCAGUUGCCACCUAAGAGCUUUUGCCCUGACUGGCUUGAGAGUUAAUGAGAUCCUUCCUUCGAUGUCUGAUGCA